GGGAAAUUUUUCAAUAAAGGAAUGUUCCGAAUUUACCAGUUUCUAGAGACUAUCCGGUUGCAAAAAAGAAGGAAAGGUAUUGAAUAACUCGAAGAAGGAGCCGAAACGGCAUCUGGUAGUUAAGUAGUUAUGUUAUCCCUUGGGUAUUCAUCUCCAUAGCCCUCCCUUGGUUCAAGGUCAGUUAUGAGUGAAAGAAGCCAAGGUGGCGAGCUAAGGUUUUUUCCCCAUUCAAGGAAGGAGUUUAUGAGUUCGCUUUCCCUCUUUU
rnacentral:misc_RNA from 1 species